CGGCGUCCAGCGGCGGACGGGUGAGUAAUGCCUAGGAAAUUGCCCUGAUGUGGGGGAUAACCAUUGGAAACGAUGGCUAAUACCGCAUGAUGCCUACGGGCCAAAGAGGGGGACCUUCGGGCCUCUCGCGUCAGGAUAUGCCUAGGUGGGAUUAGCUAGUUGGUGAGGUAAGGGCUCACCAAGGCGACGAUCCCUAGCUGGUCUGAGAGGAUGAUCAGCCACACUGGAACUGAGACACGGUCCAGACUCCUACGGGAGGCAGCAGUGGGGAAUAUUGCAC
rnacentral:rRNA from 1 species